UUCAAAGCUUGCUUUUGAAGAUGACGAGCGGCGGACGGGUGAGUAAUGCCUGGGAAUUUGCCCAUUUGUGGGGGAUAACAGUUGGAAACGACUGCUAAUACCGCAUACGCCCUACGGGGGAAAGCAGGGGACCUUCGGGCCUUGCGCUGAUGGAUAAGCCCAGGUGGGAUUAGCUAGUAGGUGGGGUAAUGGCUCACCUAGGCAACGAUCCCUAGCUGGUCUGAGAGGAUGAUCAGCCACACUGGGACUGAGACACGGCCCAGACUCCUACGGGAGGCAGCAGUGGGGAAUAUUGCACAAUGGGGGAAACCCUGAUGCAGCCAUGCCGCGUGUGUGAAGAAGGCCUUCGGGUUGUAAAGCACUUUCAGCGAGGAGGAAAGGGUGUAAGUUAAUACCUUACAUCUGUGACGUUACUCGCAGAAGAAGCACCGGCUAACUCCGUGCCAGCAGCCGCGGUAAUACGGAGGGUGCGAGCGUUAAUCGGAAUUACUGGGCGUAAAGCGUGCGCAGGCGGUUUGUUAAGCGAGAUGUGAAAGCCCCGGGCUCAACCUGGGAACCGCAUUUCGAACUGGCAAACUAGAGUCUUGUAGAGGGGGGUAGAAUUCCAGGUGUAGCGGUGAAAUGCGUAGAGAUCUGGAGGAAUACCGGUGGCGAAGGCGGCCCCCUGGACAAAGACUGACGCUCAGGCACGAAAGCGUGG
rnacentral:rRNA from 1 species